rnacentral:lncRNA from 1 species
GUUUGAGAGGCUAGCCACCAUCUAGCAAAUACUUACUCAUCAAAAAAAUUUUAAAAAAAAAGUUCAAUAAGAUACGGUCAUAAUCAGUAAUUAAGUGUUCUCCUCCGUGGGAACCACUUACGCAUACUGCUCGAUAGGGUCAUAAUCAUGCAUGGAGUACUACUUUCCUCUUGGAUCAAUCAUGAUAAUUUCACGUGAC